CUGCCCCAGCUCUCUGGGGAGCCCCCCCCCCACACCCUCCCCGGGGGCCGGAGGGGCACAGGGCACUUCCCAAGGCUUAGUCCAUCCGCUACGCGGGGGAGAAGAGGGGGGAAGCAUGCGGCGGACGGAAACCCAACCAAACAAUCAGAAACAAAGAAUUCAUGAGUCCCACUGGAGCUGCUGGGUACUUACAACAGAGGCAUAGAGAAACCAGGAAAUCCUGAGGUGCUGAAACAAUGCCAAGAAGACUCCAAGACUGAAAUGAAAAAUCUGUUUCUCCCUCCUCUGUUUCUUCAGACUGAAAUGAAGAGGCAGGGAGGAGGCACUGACAAAUCGUGUAUCCCAAACAGCUAAAGGAAGACCUUGGCACUCUUGGUACUUCUGACUAUGACAGAAUCCAUCUGCAGCAACUACAAUGGGAUACUUGGGCAAGGCUGCCUUGUGCAUAUGUUUACUAAAACCCUAAAGCACUUCCACUGUAAUCCCUGGACCCUAGCUCAG